GGAAAGCUCACACUGUGACGGUAUCUUACCAGAAAGGGACGGCUAACUACGUGCCAGCAGCCGCGGUAAUACGUAGGUCCCGAGCGUUGUCCGGAUUUAUUGGGCGUAAAGCGAGCGCAGGCGGUUAGAUAAGUCUGAAGUUAAAGGCUGUGGCUUAACCAUAGUACGCUUUGGAAACUGUUUAACUUGAGUGCAAAAGGGGAGAGUGGAAUUCCAUGUGUAGCGGUGAAAUGCGUAGAUAUAUGGAGGAACACCGGUGGCGAAAGCGGCUCUCUGGCUUGUAACUGACGCUGAGGCUCGAAAGCGUGGGGAGCAAACAGGAUUAGAUACCCUGGUAGUCCACGCCGUAAACGAUGAGUGCUAGGUGUUAGACCCUUUCCGGGGUUUAGUGCCGCAGCUAACGCAUUAAGCACUCCGCCUGGGGAGUACGACCGCAAGGUUGAAACUCAAAGGAAUUGACGGGGGCCCGCACAAG
rnacentral:rRNA from 1 species